rnacentral:rRNA from 1 species
UCUCGGCUCUUGCAUCGAUGAAGAACGUAGUGAAAUGCGAUACUUGGUGUGAAUUGCAGAAUCUCGUGAACCAUUGAGUCUUUGAACGCAAGUUGUGCCCGAGGCCUUGUGGUCGAGGGCACGCCUGCUUGGGCGUCAUGGCAACGUCGCCUUUGCUCCUUGCUU